CGCCUGCAAAAAAAGAAGUCCACACUGACCGGAGGUGGCUCCGGCGGGGACCCUCCGACGGUCAAGUCAGAGAGGUGACUGGGCAACAGUGAAAAGAAAACAAGGAGCUCAACGAGAGAGGGAAAGAGAGAGAGGGAGCAAGCCCAAGAGUUUCGAAGAGACCUCUAGCACUGUUGCCUUCCCCGAUAUAUAUAGUGGAGCAUGGUAUGGCGCCGUCAUUAAUGGCGCGGACAAUUGAAGAAUUGUCA
rnacentral:lncRNA from 1 species